UUAAGUGACUAAGCGUACAUGGUGGAUGCCUUGGCAGUCAGAGGCGAUGAAGGACGUACUAACCUGCGAUAAGCUGUGAGAAGUCGGUAAGAGACGCUAUUACUCACAGAUUUCCGAAUGGGGAAACCCACCCGAGAUAACUCGGGUAUCUGUUACUGAAUACAUAGGUAACAGAGGCGAACCGGGAGAACUGAAACAUCUAAGUACCCCGAGGAAAAGAAAUCAACCGAGAUUCCCUCAGUAGCGGCGAGCGAACGGGGAUUAGCCCUUAAGCAUCUUGGAAGUUAGUGGAACGGUCCUGGAAAGGCCGGCGAUACAGGGUGAUAGCCCCGUACACGAAAACAACCUUGAUGUGAAAUCGAGUAGGGCGGGACACGUGACAUCCUGUCUGAAUAUGGGGGGACCAUCCUCCAAGGCUAAAUACUCCUGACUGACCGAUAGUGAACCAGUACCGUGAGGGAAAGGCGAAAAGAACCCCUGUGAGGGGAGUGAAAUAGAACCUGAAACCGUGUACGUACAAGCAGUGGGAGCCCUUCGGGGUGACUGCGUACCUUUUGUAUAAUGGGUCAGCGACUUACAUUUUGUAGCGAGGUUAACCGUAUAGGGGAGCCGUAGGGAAACCGAGUCUUAACUGGGCGUCUAGUUGCAAGGUGUAGACCCGAAACCGGGUGAUCUAGCCAUGGGCAGGUUGAAGGUUGAGUAACAUCAACUGGAGGACCGAACCCACUAACGUUGCAAAGUUAGGGGAUGACCUGUGGCUGGGGGUGAAAGGCCAAUCAAACUCGGAGAUAGCUGGUUCUCCCCGAAAGCUAUUUAGGUAGCGCCUCGGACGAAUACUACUGGGGGUAGAGCACUGUUUGGGCUAGGGGGUCAUCCCGACUUACCAACCCCAUGCAAACUCCGAAUACCAGUAAGUAAUAUCCGGGAGACACACGGCGGGUGCUAACGUCCGUCGUGAAGAGGGAAACAACCCAGACCGCCGGCUAAGGUCCCAAAGUUCUGGUUAAGUGGGAAACGAUGUGGGAAGGCUCAGACAGCUAGGAUGUUGGCUUAGAAGCAGCCAUCAUUUAAAGAAAGCGUAAUAGCUCACUAGUCGAGUCGGCCUGCGCGGAAGAUGUAACGGGGCUCAAACCAGGCACCGAAGCCGCGGAUUCACACUUAUGUGUGAGUGGUAGGGGAGCGUUCUGUAAGUCUGCGAAGGUGUAUCGAGAGGUAUGCUGGAGAUAUCAGAAGUGCGAAUGCUGACGUAAGUAACGAUAAAGGGGGUGAAAAGCCUCCUCGCCGGAAGACCAAGGGUUCCUGUCCAACGUUAAUCGGGGCAGGGUGAGUCGACCCCUAAGGCGAGGCCGAAAGGCGUAGUCGAUGGGAAGCAGGUUAAUAUUCCUGCACGACUUGUAAUUGCGAUGGGGGGACGGAGAAGGCUAGGUGGGCCAGGCGACGGUUGUCCUGGUGAAAGUGCGUAGGUGGUGUUUCUAGGCAAAUCCGGAGACACAACACUGAGACACGAGACGAACACACUACGGUGUGGAAGCCAUUGAUGCCCUGCUUCCAGGAAAAGCCUCUAAGCUUCAGAUUACAAGUCAUCGUACCCCAAACCGACACAGGUGGUCGGGUAGAGAAUACCAAGGCGCUUGAGAGAACUCGGGUGAAGGAACUAGGCAAAAUAGAACCGUAACUUCGGGAGAAGGUUCGCUCUUGACAGUGAAGUCCCUUGCGGAUGGAGCAGUUGGGAGUCGCAGUGACCAGAUGGCUGGGACUGUUUAUCAAAAACACAGCACUCUGCAAACACGAAAGUGGACGUAUAGGGUGUGACACCUGCCCGGUGCCGGAAGGUUAAUUGAUGGGGUUAGCGCAAGCGAAGCUCUUGAUCGAAGCCCCGGUAAACGGCGGCCGUAACUAUAACGGUCCUAAGGUAGCGAAAUUCCUUGUCGGGUAAGUUCCGACCUGCACGAAUGGUGUAACCAUGGCCAUGCUGUCUCCACCCGAGACUCAGUGAAAUCGAAUUCGCCGUGAAGAUGCGGUGUACCCGCGGCUAGACGGAAAGACCCCGUGAACCUUUACUACAGCUUGGCACUGAACAUUGAACCUACAUGUGUAGGAUAGGUGGGAGGCUUUGAAGGCGUGACGCCAGUUGCGCUGGAGCCGUCCUUGAAAUACCACCCUUGUAUGUUUGAUGUUCUAACGCAGGGCCCUGAAUCGGGCUCGCGGACAGUGCCUGGUGGGUAGUUUGACUGGGGCGGUCUCCUCCCAAAGAGUAACGGAGGAGCACGAAGGUUGGCUAAUCCUGGUCGGACAUCAGGAGGUUAGUGCAAUGGCAUAAGCCAGCUUAACUGCGAGACGGACAGGUCGAGCAGGUACGAAAGUAGGUCAUAGUGAUCCGGUGGUUCUGAAUGGAAGGGCCAUCGCUCAACGGAUAAAAGGUACUCCGGGGAUAACAGGCUGAUACCGCCCAAGAGUUCAUAUCGACGGCGGUGUUUGGCACCUCGAUGUCGGCUCAUCACAUCCUGGGGCUGAAGUCGGUCCCAAGGGUAUGGCUGUUCGCCAUUUAAAGUGGUACGCGAGCUGGGUUCAGAACGUCGUGAGACAGUUCGGUCCCUAUCUGCCGUGGGCGUUGGAUGAUUGAAGGGAGUUGCUCCUAGUACGAGAGGACCGGAGUGAACGAACCUCUGGUGUUCGGGUUGUCACGCCAGUGGCACUGCCCGGUAGCUAAGUUCGGAAUCGAUAACCGCUGAAAGCAUCUAAGCGGGAAGCGAGCCCUGAGAUGAGUCAUCCCUGACCCCUUGAGGGUCCUAAAGGGCCGUUGGAGACCACAACGUUGAUAGGUGGGGUGUGUAAGCGC
rnacentral:rRNA from 1 species